AAAGUACAUAUAUCUUUUUGUCUUCAUAUGGAUUUUUAUUUUCUAUAUCAUGGUAGUUGGAACUACGUGACGCAGUCACAGAAACAAAACCCUCAUUGCAUUAUCAGCGUUUCAUUUUUUUGUGAUAUUCUAUUUGGAGAUUAUCAAUUACCAAGGAAACUUCGCUCUUUUGUUUUCUGCGUGCGUCUUCGCAGACAUCAGAGGCCAGAGAGACAAUUUUUGUUCCACUGCCAACAAUUGAAGUGAACGAACCGAACAGUUGAUAUAUAAGUACGGUUUAUGGCAUGGAGUUGUAAGUGCUUUUCGAAUUUGAGGUUAGAAUAACGUCUCAAUGUAAGUAGUUCUGUAAGUAAGUUUUCGACAAAUUGUCUUUGCCCGCUUGAGUGAUAGAAUUUCGGCGAAAAUUACAUUGCGAAUAGAAUAAAACUAUUUAGAUUUUAUAGAUCCUUUGUAUGCCCUAGUUGAGGAUGUAGUAGUCAUGGAGUUAGUGACUAAACUGUCAUCCAUAUUUGACAAUAUUGAGACUGAUUCAUUAAAUCCAACAGAGGAAUAUGAGACGGUGUGUGCAUCUUUGCACGUACUGAACUGUCCAAUGUCAGAAUAUCUGGGGAAGAAUGUGAUGUGUGCUGGUGAGCUAUGCUCCUCCACCUCAUCUGCACACCCCUCUUCUUCAGCAAUUCCCCCACGAUUAACAUACGGCUGUUGGCGGGUAUGACACGGAGUGGGGUACGGAGAACCAUUGUACCCACUAAACUCAGGACUUGGCGGAGGUGCUGGGGUCUCUGCCUCUUCACUGUCAUCAUUCAUAUUGCAGUCAAAUGGAAUGUCAAGACUUCUGCGCUUCCACAUCUUUGUCAGGUGUUCUUUGUGUCUAGGAGGUUGUAGUGGAAAGAAAUUGAUGCUGAAUGCUCUAGUUACUGCUGAAGAGAGAAACCCAUUUUACCAUUGAUCUGAAGAUUCGAGAAGAAGGAAUGUUGCUGGUCCUACAAGGCAUUCUCCAUUCUGUUUGUUUAUGCCAUCAUGUGAAACAGAAGAAUGUGUCUUAAACCUUGUAUAUAUUGCAGAUAAUGAUGAUGACUUCUCAGGCAGUGAGCUGUGUCAAGAGGUUUAACCCACCUGACUAUUCUGUUAAUUGAGGUGAAAGUGGUAACUGAACAUUGUGUUUGCUGGUUUUAUUUACUUGUAACUGCUGAAAAACUGAAUGGAAAUGGCACAGAACUUGUGCUGUAGGAGUAUGUAUUGUGUGAUCCUCAGAGGAUCUGCUGCUUUUGAAGUUCAGGUCCUGUAUAAGAGGGAGCUUUAUUGAUUUGGAAGGUUUGAAGUUCUCUCAAUGGGGAAGGAACAUGUGUCAUCUGGAUUGUAUCACUAUGUAAUCUAGUAGAAGUUUUCCAACAUUUCAGAGGUGGUUGCUGCCUCCAUCAUCAGGUUGAUGGGGCUGUGCUACAGUGCUACAACCCAGAAGACGGCUUUUUUGUGUGUGAGAGGCUAGUUCAUAUCAGUUUGAUUUCUUGUACUGACUGUUCCCUUCAGUAUUAAGUUUAAUAAUUUAAUUGUAUAAAACAAAUAAUUUACAUAAUGUGAUCAGUAGAUCAUCUAGGCAUUAGAUUGUGGUUUUACAUGUAGGGGUGAUGAAACUUUGUGCAGAAUGUAAAACUGCAUUACAUUGUAGGAUACGAGGUUUUUACAGCUGUCUCAUGAUGGUUGUCUUCUGUCUUGUGCAUGUACUCUGGUAGAAGAGGAAACUUCUACCAGACGACGGGGCACAGCUUCCUGCACUACAUCAGUUACAGUGUUAAAUUGGUUGUUGUGUUCUUGGUAUCAGCUUUUACUGUGAUGUAAUGUGUACUGUAAUCAUGUUUCUUCCCCUUCAUUUUCCUGUGCUGUCACUGAAUGAAGUGGAACCAGUGUCUUUGUCGUUACCCUCUCCCCAAGGUUACCUGCUACAUGGCAGCCUUUGGAUUCAGUGAUUUGAAGGCAAUUCCUGAACAGUUGUCCUUUUUGAUAACUCAGGUAAUGUACAAGAAGUGUUUGCAAGUGGUUUGUGGAAAAUGGUGUCUUGACAUCUUAGUACUGGAGGUAUAGUAGGCUAGUUGAUGUAGGAAAAUUCCAGUAUAGUAAACUACUCUUUGAUAUUUACUGAGGUUAGAAAUUGGCACUAGAAGGUAUCUAUCUUGUUCUCAUAUUGUGAACAUCAGGAACUUCCGUGUUAUCCACUUCAAAUGAUUGUAGUGAGAGAAAAUUUGCAGGGUAGAGGGAGAAUAUUAAGCUUGGAUGAUUCACUGCAAGGGAGACCUUUAAGUGCUUGCCAUUAUUCUAAUCUUGAAUUUAAAAUACUUUUUCCUGCCCUUUUUAAUUUCCCCAGAAAAUUGUUCUACAUAGCAUGGUGGAAUGGAAGUUAAAUUUUGUGUUUUCAUGAGUGCUGCAAUUGACCUUAAGGCAAAACAUGCUGAUCCUAGUUUAGGUAUAUAGUAUUGAAUAUCUUUGCUUCCAGUUAAACUUGUUGAUUUGUAGGCCAAGAAAUUUCCUUGAUUACUUUAUCAUCAUACCCUAUAUUUAGAUUUAUGCAAGUUCUGUUAGUAAAAAAUUUGAGUUUAUUGGCUUUAAUCCAUUUGUUCAAUCUAGUAAACACAUUUAUGCAGUUUUGAAAACAAUUUCUUGAUGUGAAAUAAUAUUGCUAUCAUCAGCAAACACUAUAGAUUUAGAAUGGGAGUUGAUCGCUGGGGGCAGAUCAUUGAUAUUUACGAGAAAAAGCAGACGAAAGUAUUAAAACUUCAGGCACUUUAUGUUUUACUAUGCCCAAAUUUAAGUAGGUGCUAUCAUUUGAAUUUGAUGAUUUUAUUUCUGCUUGUUGCUUUCUGUCCUGAAGUUGUGAUUUAAACCACUUGCCAGCUAUAUUUUGAAUUUCAUGAAACUUUGGUUUUAAUAGUAAUAGUUCCAUGAUUUACACAAUUUAAUGUCUUUGCAAGAUAUUUCACCAAGAUGCCCUGUAUCUCAUCUGUAAAACCGAACAGGGCUUUAACAGUUAAAAGGAAUAUACUGUAACUAAAAGUUAAAGUUACAAGUGUUGUGUGAUAUGUAGCAAUUCAAAAUAUUUUUAUAACCUUGGUUUGUUGAGAACAUUUGAAUAAUACGGACGCUGAAGGCAAGAACAAUGAAAAACAAAACACUUUCAAAGAUUGCAGCUGAAUACAAUAGCGCAACAUCCUAAAUUGAGCUAGAUAUGUCUAAUUUGAGAUAUUUUAAAUCAUACGUUGAUUCUCUUAUUUCUACUGUAUUCAACUCAUUUUGUACGCUUGGCGGAGGAUGGUCAGUUUUUCCGAAGCCUGUUGUCGACGUAUUUGUACUUCUUGGUGUUGCCUGGCAAGCCUAAUGAACAUGGCGUGAUUUCUGUUCUUCAGUAUCAAGUUUUCUUGUUUAAUUUUUGAUGCCUGGGUGUGGUUUUGUUCGGUUACUUUGUAGCGUGAUUCAAGGUGUUUCUUCAGUGAGGAAAUUUUGUCAAUCAGCCUUUGUCUGUUGAAUGUUUUGUCACAAUAGUCGUGUGUAUUUGUUACUUGUGCUGUAUGCCCCUCCAUAGUCUGAAUAAUUCCUUGGUGAUGUAUCUUUUGACUGAUUAAGGUUAGUUUGGCUCUAUUUUGAGACCAUAUUAUUUUGUCAAUUUCAUUGUCAAGUUUUUCGUUAUUUUGUUGGAGAUGCUGUGUAAGUUUAUUCAUUUUACUUAGACUGUAAUCCAUUUCUGAAAAAUUCAUUCCAAGCUC